GAUGAACGCUGGCGGCGUGCCUAAUACAUGCAAGUCGAGCGAACGGACGAGAAGCUUGCUUCUCUGAUGUUAGCGGCGGACGGGUGAGUAACACGUGGAUAACCUACCUAUAAGACUGGGAUAACUUCGGGAAACCGGAGCUAAUACCGGAUAAUAUUUUGAACCGCAUGGUUCAAAAGUGAAAGACGGUCUUGCUGUCACUUAUAGAUGCAUCCGCGCUGCAUUAGCUAGUUGGUAAGGUAACGGCUUACCAAGGCAACGAUGCAUAGCCGACCUGAGAGGGUGAUCGGCCACACUGGAACUGAGACACGGUCCAGACUCCUACGGGAGGCAGCAGUAGGGAAUCUUCCGCAAUGGGCGAAAGCCUGACGGAGCAACGCCGAGUGAGUGAUGAAGGUCUUCGGAUCGUAAAGCUCUGUUAUGAGGGAAGAACAUAUGUGUAAGUAACUGUGCACAUCUUGACGGUACCUAAUCAGAAAGCCACGGCUAACUACGUG
rnacentral:rRNA from 1 species